UACGAAUGGAGCGAGCGUUGUUCGGAAUCACUGGGCGUAAAGCGUGCGCAGGCGGUUGUGAAAGUUAGAAGUGAAAGCCCAGGGCUUAACCUUGGAAUUGCUUUUAAAACUCCACAACUAGAGUACUGGAGAGGUUAGCGGAAUUCCGAGUGUAGAGGUGAAAUUCGCAGAUAUUCGGAGGAACACCAAUGGCGUAGGCAGCUAACUGGACAGUAACUGACGCUCAGGCACGAAAGCGUGGGGAUCAAAC
rnacentral:rRNA from 1 species